GACAGAGGGGGCAAGCGUUGCUCGGAAUCACUGGGCGUAAAGGGCGCGUAGGCGGGAUGGCAAGUCGGUCGUGAAAUCCCUGGGCUCAGCUCAGGGGGGUCGGCCGAUACUGCCGUUCUUGAGGGAUGCAGAGGAGACUGGAAUUCCCGGUGUAGCGGUGAAAUGUGUAGAGAUCGGGAGGAACACCGGUGGCGAAGGCGGGUCUCUGGGCAUUCCCUGACGCUGAGGCGCGAAAGCGUGGGGAGCAAACGGG
rnacentral:rRNA from 1 species